GUGGGGAAUCUUGCGCAAUGGGCGAAAGCCUGACGCAGCCAUGCCGCGUGAAUGAUGAAGGUCUUAGGAUUGUAAAAUUCUUUCACCGGGGACGAUAAUGACUGUACCCACAGAAGAAGCCCCGGCUAACUCCGUGCCAGCAGCCGCGGUAAUACGAAGGGGGCUAGCGUUGCUCGGAAUUACUGGGCGUAAAGGGCGCGUAGGCGGACAGCUUAGUCAGAGGUGAAAGCGCAGGGCUCAACCUUGGAAUUGCCUUUGAUACUGGCUGUCUUGAGUUUGGGAGAGGUGAGUGGAACUCCGAGUGUAGAGGUGAAAUUCGUAGAUAUUCGGAAGAACACCAGUGGCGAAGGCGACUCACUGGCCCAAUACUGACGCUGAGGCGCGAAAGCGUGGGGAGCAAACAGGAUUAGAUACCCUGGUAGUCC
rnacentral:rRNA from 1 species